AGUCUCUCUCUAGACUCUUUCUUGUUCUUAUUCUCUCUAAUUUCUUAAUCACUUCAAUCUCAUACAAAAUACUCAAAUUAAUCUGAAUCACACUAUAAACCCAAAAGUGUUUAAACCGAAAUCCAUUCUUAAAUCAAAACCUAAGCUAAAUCCUUAUCUAUCCUUUCCAUUUAUUGGCUCCAUCACGAUGUGUCUCCAAAGCUUCCUUUCGAUCUUUGAGACGGUGCCAGGAUCUGUAUAAAUAGAGAAUGAACUUUCACGGAGAGAGAUGAGAAAAUAAUCUUCCGGUUUGAAUCCAAACAGAGUCUCCUUGCAAGUCAAGUGUCUGUGUGUUUUGGAUUUUACUUUAGUGAAGAUAAACAGAAUCAGAUAAGUUGAAGCUUUCUAGAAGGUGUUUCAACAAGAUCCAUGGCGACCGUAUGAAGGAAGAGCUUGCAAGCAGAUUCAAGCAAAACGAGAUUGGAGAACGAUGAUGCUCAACCGCCAUGCUUUACGGUGAACAAAUCACGGUCUCUGUACUCUGUUUCACAAUGAUAUUGGUUUUGUUUAUUGUUUUUGUUUUUGUUUGUUACUCCUUUUAUUUAUUCAGAACUUAAUUUAUCGUUUUGUGUCAAAAUCUUUGCGUCUCUCUUUUGCAGAAUGAAACUAACCUUUGUUAAUCAGCUUCUGAUGAUGAAAUGUGGAAGCAAAGUUCUACGUGGUAGAAGCCUAGGACAUCACUCCCAAGAACUUGAAUACUUUGAGGCUGUUGAAGGGGUUCUAAAGAUCAAGGACGGAUAUAAUCCUGCAACGUGAAUGCUUGAAGAUGGACAUUCACAUUGGAGUACCUUAUUGCACAAAAAAAUAUUAAUUUUAUAAUUAUUGCACAAUGUCAACAAAUAAAAUUUAUAAAAUCAGUGUAUUUGCAAAAAUAA